rnacentral:lncRNA from 1 species
GUGAGGGGCUCCUUCCAGAGAUUGGUCCAGGCAGGAGAGAACGGGCUGAUGCUGUAAAUCUAGGCAAGCGGGGCCAGCGUGCAGGACGCCGGGGAGUCAGGAGGAGAAGAGAUGCUCCCUCUGUCUAGUUUCCUGCUGCCUGCUAGGGGUGGGCCAGAGGUGUUGACAAGGUUAGAGACCUGGAAGAUGAUCUGGCAAAGGAGAGAUUUGGCCUGGAUCCUCGUGAGGACUCUUCCAAGUCCAGUGGUCACUGAUUCUGCAAUCAACCAGGAACUAAUCUCUAAGUGUCUUCCUCUUCCUGAGGCUCGGAGAUUCCACCCCACUCUACCAUCCUCAGCACUCUGGGGGGAGGACUGGAGAUCAAAGCUCCCAAAGGCAUUUUGCUUGAAAAUAAGGACUCUGCCUUCUGGAAUCAUGCGCUAUGCGAACAGAAAUCUGGCUGAAAAGAACAUGAAGCCUUUGGGGGCUUUAGGCUUCCUCAGAAUUCAAAGGAAGUUACAAAGUGCACAGAAGCUGCAAAAGAUACAAUUGACAGUCCUCAAGCCUUAGAAUUCUCCAAGAGUUGACUGGGUCAAAGUUCCAAGCUGUUGAAGGGACAGGUUUCCAACUGUCUGUCUGGAGCAGAAGGUCAAGCCUGAAGGGUAUAGAUCUGGACUCUCCCUGGACAACCUCAUCUUGUAAGCUGCCUGCAUUAGAAUAAGAUCAUAAGGCCUGAGAAGAAGAUCCCCAUACAUUCUGGCGGACAGAGUGAUUUUGGAGGAGCCUUUCUCUCUCUUUCCUGGAACAUCUGAGGACUCAACAGCUCGAUUCCUGCUACCUGAUCCAUCAAGGACUCUGUGUGUGAGAUUCCGAGUUCCCUGUUGGACUUAUCCUUGGUGAUCUUUAGUUUAGUUAGUUACACAGGUUAAGCUUAGGAAAUUAACUAUGGUGGGUUAAAUAUCUUGGGGCAAAUAGUCAGAUGCAAACCCUUCCCCUUUUCCUUCCCCAUCAUCCCUUUCCUUGUUAAUAAGCUCAAUUAUUUAAGUGAGUUUUUCCCCUUUGUAUAAACCUUUCCCCUUUCCUAAAUUCCCCACAACACUUCCAAAGUUGUCUUAACAAUAUUGUUGUCAUAAAUUAUUCUCCUUGUUCUGCUCACUUAACUCUGCAUCAGUUUAUACAGAUCUAUCCAGGUUCCUUUGAAACUUUCAUCCUUAUGAAAUAUAUUAAUAUUAUAUAUACAAUAACAAAUAAAAUCUUAAAUAUAAUUUAUUUCCA